AUUGAACGCUGGCGGCAGGCUUAACACAUGCAAGUCGAACGAUGAAACUCUAGCUUGCUAGAGAAGAUUAGUGGCGGACGGGUGAGUAACAUUUAGGAAUCUGCCUAGUAGUGGGGGACAGCUCGGGGAAACUCGAAUUAAUACCGCAUACGACCUACGGGUGAAAGGGGGCGCAAGCUCUUGCUAUUAGAUGAGCCUAAAUCAGAUUAGCUAGUUGGUGGGGUAAAGGCCCACCAAGGCGACGAUCUGUAACUGGUCUGAGAGGAUGAUCAGUCACACCGGAACUGAGACACGGUCCGGACUCCUACGGGAGGCAGCAGUGGGGAAUAUUGGACAAUGGGGGCAACCCUGAUCCAGCCAUGCCGCGUGUGUGAAGAAGGCCUUUUGGUUGUAAAGCACUUUAAGCAGGGAGGAGAGGCUAAUGGUUAAUACCCAUUAGAUUAGACGUUACCUGCAGAAUAAGCACCGGCUAACUCUGUGCCAGCAGCCGCGGUAAUACAGAGGGUGCGAGCGUUAAUCGGAAUUACUGGGCGUAAAGCGAGUGUAGGUGGCUCAUUAAGUCACAUGUGAAAUCCCCGGGCUUAACCUGGGAACUACAUGUGAUACUGGUGGUGCUAGAAUAUGUGAGAGGGAAGUAGAAUUCCAGGUGUAGCGGUGAAAUGCGUAGAGAUCUGGAGGAAUACCGAUGGCGAAGGCAGCUUCCUGGCAUAAUAUUGACACCGAGAUUCGAAAGCGUGGGUAGCAAACAGGAUUAGAUACCCUGGUAGUCCACGCCGUAAACGAUGUCUACUAGCCGUUGGGGUCCUUGAGACCUUAGUGGCGCAGUUAACGCGAUAAGUAGACCGCCUGGGGAGUACGGCCGCAAGGUUAAAACUCAAAUGAAUUGACGGGGGCCCGCACAAGCGGUGGAGCAUGUGGUUUAAUUCGAUGCAACGCGAAGAACCUUACCUGGUCUUGACAUAGUGAGAAUCCUGCAGAGAUGCGGGAGUGCCUUCGGGAAUUCACAUACAGGUGCUGCAUGGCUGUCGUCAGCUCGUGUCGUGAGAUGUUGGGUUAAGUCCCGCAACGAGCGCAACCCUUUUCCUUACUUGCCAGCGGGUUAAGCCGGGAACUUUAAGGAUACUGCCAGUGACAAACUGGAGGAAGGCGGGGACGACGUCAAGUCAUCAUGGCCCUUACGACCAGGGCUACACACGUGCUACAAUGGUAGGUACAGAGGGUUGCUACACAGCGAUGUGAUGCUAAUCUCAAAAAGCCUAUCGUAGUCCGGAUUGGAGUCUGCAACUCGACUCCAUGAAGUCGGAGUCGCUAGUAAUCGCAGAUCAGAAUGCUGCGGUGAAUACGUUCCCGGGCCU
rnacentral:rRNA from 1 species